rnacentral:tRNA from 1 species
UCCCGCGUGGUCUAGCGGUUAGGAUUCCUGGCUUUCACCCAGGCGGCCCGGGUUCGACGCCCGGCGCGGGAG